rnacentral:rRNA from 1 species
AUUGUGGGCCAACUAUCAAACUCCGGGGACAUCCUAAAGUUUAUGAUACCAAGCCAUAGUCGAAAGUCUAUGAGUGGCCAGAAUAAUUACCUGGGUAUGGUAACAAGUCAUAAGAUGAGUGAAAACGAAAUGGAUUAUCGCGGAUCUAAAUCAGAAUUUCAAAGCCCACAGCCAAAAGAAAUUUCUGUAAAAGAGCAACGAGUAGAUGGUAGUUAUUUUGGAUUUUACCCAAAAUUAAGGUGUACUCUAAUGGGCUUCGAAAGAAGUUAUCAACUCAAAAACCCUUCUAACCAAUUUUUUAAAAAAUACUUUUCUAUUUUAAAUACAAAACCUGAAACUUAAAUAAAUCCUUGGUUUUUAAACUGGUUUUGCAGAUGCUGAAAGUUGUUUUUUUAUUAAAAUACAAGCAAAUGCUAAAUUAAAAACUAAAGAAUAUCUAACGAUCCUUCUAAAUCAGUGUACGAUCAAAUAAUAGAAAUAAAAUCAGGUAUGAAUCUAAAUAGAAAAUAGUAGUGUUAAUUAUAUUUCUCACUCAUUUUAUUAAA